GGUCAAGAGUGCCAGCGUCAAGUCCCCGGCUAGCUGGCCGGCAACCCUCCAUCCGCGGCGGGGUGCCCCGGGUCAAGACCAGGCCGAGCCGCUCACCGCGGCCCGGGCAAGCGCGGGCU
rnacentral:ncRNA from 2 species